GUGUUGUAUGAAAGGAAAGGGUGGCACUCCUCUUGACAAGGAUGGAAGAGGCUUUGGUCUAUACAGUCAUAUAGUUAAGGCUCUACCAAAUACUUAAGACAUGAAAGCAUUCUAUAUUU